rnacentral:hammerhead_ribozyme from 1 species
AUCCAGUUGACGAGUCCAAAUAUAGGACGAAACGCGCAUCCUGGAU